rnacentral:rRNA from 1 species
GGGGAAUUGUUCGCAAUGGGCGCAAGCCUGACGACGCAACGCCGCGUGGAGGAUGAAGAUUUUCGGAUCGUAAACUCCUGUCGAAUGGGACGAAUAGAUUGCGGGUUAACAGCCCGUGAUCCUGACGGUACCGUUAAAGGAAACCCCGGCUAACUCCGUGCCAGCAGCCGCGGUAAUACGGGGGGGGUAAGCGUUGUUCGGAAUUACUGGGCGUAAAGGGCUCGUAGGCGGCCAACUAAGUCACACGUGAAAUCCCUCGGCUCAACCGGGGAACUGCGUGUGAGACUGGAUGGCUUGAGUUUGGGAGAGGAAUGCGGAAUUCCAGGUGUAGCGGUGAAAUGCGUAGAUAUCUGGAGGAACACCGGUGGCGAAGGCGGCAUUCUGGACCAACACUGACGCUGAGGAGCGAAAGCCAGGGGAGCAAA